AGAUGAAAUGACCAAAAGGGUCAGAGAUGUAUCAUUCUUUACACAAAAUUGGGUGUAAAAAAGACGUAUAUGCUCCCGUUUUCUCACUUUCACAAAUUUCUGCUCCUCAUCUUCACCAGUGGGUCUCCGACGAACCCCUUUCUCUGGCGCGACUGCAGCAACAUCCUCCGAACAAACGACGGGUAGAUCUUAAAAUAUCUGAAAGUUAUGGCUCGAAGGAAAAAUCUGUUCUCGGGUGAGUUUCUUGAUAAUUUUCAAGAGUCCUUCUCGAAUUAUUAAAGUUGCUGCUCAUGUUUGGGAAUGGGUGCAAAACAAUGAAAUUGGGCAUGCAAAAUCUACAGGUCCAUGCAUUCAUUGGAUUGUUAUGGUGCCUAGUUUUUUAGGAAAUCGGGUUAUCAUUCGUCUGAAAUUGGGUUGGACACUGGUCACUGCAAAGUGUUCUUGGAUUCCGAAGAUGUAGGCCAGACUCUUAAUUUGUCUUCUCUUGGGUCGUACGAAGAUUCUUUCAAGAGGCUUGGACAUAUGUUUGGAAUUGAAAGUUCGGAGAUUAUGAGCCACGUGUUUUAUCGUGAUGCAACGGUUGCUCUUAAACAAGCUGGUGAUGAACCCUUCAGGUAAAAAAAUACUCACAUUGUUUAAGGUUAAUAAAUAAUUAAGUUAUUAUUACAUAUGUGAUCCUCUGUGUUUGUUGACAUGUUUUGGUCGACUAUGGCGAUGCUGUGAGUUUAAAAAGUCUGCUAAAAGAUAUUCUUAUGAAACCAAGCACAAUGGUGCUGAAAGGAAAUUGAUCACCGGUUUGCCAACCGCUGAGCGUGGACUUGUUUUGUUGAACCAGGCAAAACCCUUGAGCAUUUAUGCAUAGAUUCAUUUCUAAACAAGUCAACUUUGUGAAAUUAUUCAAGAAUGUUAUAUUAUUAAACUCCUUUUUAGUUAAUUUGUAUUGUUGGAUCGAAAGCUGCUAUUUUUAUGUAUCUGUUAAAACUUCAAUCUGUCUAGCUUUAAUGA